rnacentral:rRNA from 1 species
CUACGGGAGGCAGCAGUUAGGAAUUUUGCGCAAUGGAGGAAACUCUGACGCAGCAACGCCGCGUGAGGGAAGAAGGCUUUCGGGUUGUAAACCUCUUUUAGUUGGAAAGAAAAAAAUGACGGUACCAACAGAAAAAGCACCGGCUAACUACGUGCCAGCAGCCGCGGUAAUACGUAGGGUGCAAGCGUUAUUCGGAAUUAUUGGGCGUAAAGCGCGUGUAGGCGGUCUAGUUAGUCUAAUGUGAAAGCCCUCGACUCAAUCGAGGAACUGCAUCGGAUACUGCUAGACUAGAGUACAGGAGGGGUGAGCGGAAUUCCUGGUGUAGAGGUGAAAUUCGUAGAUAUCAGGAGGAACAACAGCGGCGAAGGCGGCUCACUGGACUGUAACUGACGCUCAGACGCGAAAGCGUGGGGAGCAAACAGGAUUAGAAACCCUAGUAGUCC